UGUGUUGAUGAGGCCCUGAUGAAAAGCUCAGCAUGGCUGUUGGUGUGCCGCACAUCUGGAUCGUUACGGUGUGUCGACACAUGCAUGAGCAAAGGAAAGACCCCCGUGUCGUCGCUGGCUCCCGUGGCCCCGAUCGCCCUCUCCACCAGCCUCCUUCGCUGUAAGAAGCCAACUGCAGGAGGCUCCUGCGAACCACAUGCUAUCACAGCUCGGCCUUCCAGCCUCCAACCGCGGCACGCUUACACUCAUCCACUCCACAGGGGAAGUGUUGAGCCUCGUUCGCCGACAUGACAGCACAAACACAGAAACACCCUUUACCAGACUGGCAGUGCUGCCUCGAACCCCUCCUCUCCUCUCACAGUUUCGCAUUUCUCUCUCUUUGCCUGCUCCUCCCAUCGCUGUUUUCUCCUCAGUCUCUCUCCUCCUCUCAAAGAGCAGUUUCCCCUCGAGCGUCGUUGCGCGCUGCCGUCUUUGUUGGUGUUUACUUGUCUGAGUGUCUUUCUAAUCCUCCCCCAUCUUUCUGUCAAUAUUAGUCUUUGUUCAUCUGUAUCUAGGAUUUUAUUUUUUUAUUUUUUUUCUUAACGUCUGCGUGCUGAAUAAAGUCAAAUGUGACCCACAUGAUGCUGAAGCAUACACACUGCUGGUUUAAAGCUCGAUCCAAAUACAGGCUUCAACUGUUUGGUCCGAUUAAGAUUAUUAAAAAUCCCAUUUCCGAAAGGUUUUCUGCAGAGUUGACUCUGCUUGCUUCCCUUCCUAGACAACUCUCUCUAUUUUUUUUUAUUCCCAUGUUAUUAUAGCUAAUGCAACCAAUGAAUCUGGAUAUAUUACAUUUAAUUUAACCAUAACUGGGCAGAAAUAAACUCCGUGUCAAUGUAAUUAACUGGCAUGCAUGCAAUCAAUAUUAAUAUAACCAAAUAAGACUGUUAGUAAGAGACAUUAAUUGGACUAAGUUUUACUACAUGCAAAUCUGAUUAACUGGACUGAAUGGGAUUCUGUUUUUAGAAUAAUUUUUGACUGCAUUUGGAUUUCAAAUUGAUUUAAAGUAAUUGGGUUGAACUGAACUGAAUGCUGUGAGAAAUAAUUAGACCAAACUGAACCGCCUGCAACCGGACUGAAUCAUACGAGAGUCGUGAAAAUAAAUGCCACAGAUACUUUCAGGGUUUUAAACACAACUCACGUAAGGAGGCCAUCGUCCGUGACGAGGCCGUCGCAGGUUCAAAUCCCGGCCUGGUGACCAUUUGCCACAUGUCUUCCCUCACUCUCAUUACCCACUUUCCUGCUUGAACACUUUCAAAUAAAGACCUUUAAAAAAGAUAAGAGCCAAAAUAUCACUUAAGAUGGUGCUCUAAUAUGUUUUAAGCAAUACAGCAUGGGUUUUUGUGGUUUGGUUCGCUGUCUUGUCCGUUUCCAAUGUAAAAGCGGCCCAUGAAACUGAGCCGUACUGGGUCAAAGGACAACGGUACGGUACGCUUAGGGUGGAGCUACUGGUGUCACAACAACACAGCCCAUUGAUUGGCGGACAGAAAAACGUCACUGCUUACGACAACCUUCAUCGUCGUGCUGCUUUGACGCGAUGGUUUGCGUUUCACCCCGCUUGCCCUGUCAGAGACCAACUGGCACGGGGGACGCUCUCCUGUAGCUAAAAAUAGCUUUUUAGUUUUUUACCAAACCAGCUCAUUAUGCACUGCUCAGUGGAAAUGAGCAAUACUUGUUUGCAAACGCCAGUCAAACUGCAUUGACCCCAGGUAUUUUCAGCUUACGUCCAAAGUGCAUUUCUUUAGAAAAUUUUAGAAAAAAAAAAAAAAA